UACAGAGGUCUCAAGCGUUGUUCGGAUUCAUUGGGCGUAAAGGGCGCGUAGGCGGCGGGGCAAGUCGGGUGUGAAAUCUCAGGGCUCAACCCUGAAACUGCACUCGAUACUGCUCUGCUUGAGGACUGGAGAGGAGACUGGAAUUUACGGUGUAGCGGUGAAAUGCGUAGAUAUCGUAAGGAAGACCAGUGGCGAAGGCGGGUCUCUGGACAGUUCCUGACGCUGAGGCACGAAGGCCAGGGGAGCAAACGGG
rnacentral:rRNA from 1 species